rnacentral:rRNA from 1 species
UAAAUGAUUUCUUCGGAAUGAACUUAAGUGAAUUAGUGGCGAACGGGUGAGUAACGCGUGAGUAACCUGCCUUACACAAGGGGAUAGCCUCUGGAAACGGAGAAUAAUACCCUAUGACAUUACAGCCUCGCAUGAAGCAGNAUUUUCCCAGUAGCGGCGAGCGAAAAGAAAACAGCCCAACCCAACAAGAAAUAUUUUCUCCAGUCAAAUCAUUUGGGAAAAUGAACCAAAGAAAGUGAAAGUCUUGUAGACAAAAGAGAAAAUAUUUUAGGGAGCAAGUAGCAGUGAACACGAGGAAUUUGCUGUGAAGACAGGGGGCCCAUCCCCUAAGGCUAAAUACUAACAUGUGACCGAUAGCGAACAAGUACCGUGAGGGAAAGGUGAAAAGAACCCCGCAAGGGGAGUGAAAAAGAACCUGAAACCUAGUGCCUACAAGCAGAGAGAGCUCAAAAGAGUGAUCUCGUACCUUUUGUAGAAUGGGCCAGCGAGUUAUCAUACUAAGCAAGAUUAAGCAUCUAAGAUGCGUAGUCCAAGCGAAAGCGAGUCUUAACAGGGCGGAUAGUUUAAUAUGAUAGACCCGAAACCGGGUGAUCUAUCCAUGGUCAGAGUGAAGGUGAAGUAAAAUUCACUGGAGGCUCGAACCGGGUACGGUUUAAAACGUAUCGGAUGAACUGUGGAUAGGGGCGAAAAACCAAACGAACCCGGAGAUAGCUGGUUCUCCUCGAAAUAGCUUUAGGGCUAGCCUAUGACCAAAGAUUUAAGGAGGUAGAGCACUGAAUGGCCUAGGGCGGCAUACCGUACCAAAGCCUAUCAAACUCCGAAUGCCAAAAAAUCAGGUCAUGGAGUCAGACUUAGAGGGAUAAGCUCCUAAGUCGAAAGGGAAAGAGCCCAGACCGACAGCUAAGGUCCCCAAAUCUGGAUUAAGUGGAAAAGGAUGUGAACCUACCAAGACAACCAGGACGUUGGCUUAGAAGCAGCCAUACAUUCAAAGAAUGCGUAAUAGCUCACUGGUCAAGUGGGUUUGCGCCGAAAAUAAACGGGGCUAAAAUCCAGUACCGAAGCUUCGGAUUGAUAGAGAAUUUAAAAUUGCUAGACCUAACUCAAUUUAUGAAAUAAAUUGUAAGUAGGUCAGCCGUCAGACUUUCCCAAGAGAGCAAAGCUCGAUUGGCAAGAAAGUUACGACGCUCAUCAACCUAACAAAGUAAUGAGAAAAAAGGUAAAACUUAGACGGAAAUAUUAAACACAAUCAAGAUAAACGAGUUAUUCAAAAAUUACGCAAAAAUCAAACACAAGAAAAAGGUAAGUUGUAAAAGAACUCAAUUAUCACCGAACAAGCAGUCAUAAAACAAAAGUUAAAAAUGACAACUGGUUGAAAUAUCGUCAAAGUAUUUACCAGCAAUUUUAAACUCUCUAUCAGUGGUAGAGGAGCAUUGUAUUAGGGGUGAAGCCUAAGCGAAAGCAAGCGUGGACUUAAUACAAGAGAGAAUGCUGGCAUGAGUAGCGAGAAGGAGAGUGAGAAUCUCUCCCGUCGAAACCCUAAGGACUCCUGAGCAAGGCUCGUCCCCUCAGGGAAAGUCGGGACCUAAGGCGAGGCCGAAAGGCGUAGCCGAUGGACAACAGGUUUAAAUUCCUGUACCGCUUAAAGUCGUUAAAGAGACGUGAUGACGCAAGAGGAUAAGCUAGCUGCCCGAUGGAAGGCAGUCUAAGCACAAAGGCUUUUCAGUAGGCAAAUCCGCUGAUCAGCAGCCAAUGUGUAAUAGGCAUCGAAAACAUAAGUAGAGAAAUAGCCGACUUCAAAUUGCCAAGAAAAGUCACUAUCAAGACCAAAGCGCCCGUACCAAAACCGACACAGGUAGGGAGGUAGAGAAUACCAAGACGCGCGGAAGAACCUUUGUUAAGGAACUCGGCAAAAUGUCCCCGUAACUUCGGGAGAAGGGGAGCCUGAGCGAUCAGGCCACAGAAACCAGGCCCAAGCGACUGUUUACCAAAAACACAAGUUUCUGCAAAAUCGAAAGAUGACGUAUAGGAGCUGACACCUGCCCGGUGCUGGAAGGUUAAGGGGAAGGCUUAGCUGUAAAGCGAAGGCUAGAACUUAAGCCCCAGUAAACGGCGGCCGUAACUAUAACGGUCCUAAGGUAGCGAAAUUCCUUGUCGGGUAAGUUCCGACCCGCACGAAAGGUGUAACGAUUUGGGCACUGUCUCAACAAAGGAUCCGGUGAAAUUGUAGUAGUCGUGAAGAUGCGACUUACCCACGCUAGGACGGAAAGACCCCGUGGAGCUUUACUGUAGGCUGAUAUUGGAUUUUGAGAUUAGACGUACAGGAUAGUUGGGAGACUUAGAAACCUGCACGCCAGUGUAGGCAGAGUCACCCUUGGGAUACCAACCCUCUAAUAUCAAAAUUCUAACAUUGACCCAUGAAUCUGGGCAAUGGACAUUGUCAGUUUGGCAGUUUGACUGGGGCGGUCGCCUCCCAAAAAGUAACGGAGGCGUUCAAAGGUUCGCUCAGAAUGGACGGAAACCAUUCGCAGAGUACAAAGGCACAAGCGAGCUUAACUGCGAGAUAUACAGAUCAAGCAGAGUAGAAAUACGGACUUAGUGAUCCGGUGGCACCGCAUGGAAGGGCCAUCGCUCAACGGAUAAAAGCUACCCCGGGGAUAACAGGCUUAUCUCCCCCAAGAGUCCACAUCGACGGGGAGGUUUGGCACCUCGAUGUCGGCUCGUCUCAUCCUGGGGCUGAAGUAGGUCCCAAGGGUUGGGCUGUUCGCCCAUUAAAGAGGCACGCGAGCUGGGUUCAGAACGUCGUGAGACAGUUCGGUCCCUAUCCAGCGUGGGCGUAAGAAAUUUGCGAGGAGCUGUCCCUAGUACGAGAGGACCGGGAUGGACAUACCACUGGUGUACCAGUUGUUUCGCCAGAAGCAUAGCUGGGUAGCUAAGUAUGGCAUUGAUAAGUACUGAAAGCAUCUAAGUACGAAGCAACCCUCAAGAUAAGAUUUCU